rnacentral:tRNA from 1 species
GGCUUUAUAGUCAAUAAUGAUAUUAGACUGCAAUUCUAAAGGAGUAAAGUAUUUUACUAAGGCUU